rnacentral:rRNA from 1 species
UGAGGAAUAUUGGUCAAUGGGCGAGAGCCUGAACCAGCCAAGUAGCGUGCAGGAUGACGGCCCUAUGGGUUGUAAACUGCUUUUAUAUGGGAAUAAAGUGAGGGACGUGUCCCUUAUUGCAUGUACCAUACGAAUAAGGACCGGCUAAUUCCGUGCCAGCAGCCGCGGUAAUACGGAAGGUCCAGGCGUUAUCCGGAUUUAUUGGGUUUAAAGGGAGCGUAGGCUGUUUGUUAAGCGUGUUGUGAAAUGUAAGAGCUCAACUUUUAGAUUGCAGCGCGAACUGGCAGACUUGAGUGCGCACAACGUAGGCGGAAUUCAUGGUGUAGCGGUGAAAUGCUUAGAUAUCAUGACGAACUCCGAUUGCGAAGGCAGCUUACGGGAGCGCAACUGACGCUAAAGCUCGAAGGUGCGGGUAUCGAAC